UAUUGGAUUUUAUUGUCACAAUGAUGUGAUUGUCACUCGAGACCGCAGGUCAAGUGUGACAAUACACAUCGUGUGCCUAAAAAAUCAUUUAUCUCAGAGUUGUAUACAACUUUUUUCGCAAUAAAGGCAACGGAAGCAUGGCU